rnacentral:rRNA from 1 species
UACAGAGACCUCAAGCGUUACUCGGAUUCACUGGGCGUAAAGGGUGCGCAGGCGGUCGCGUGUGUCAGGUGUGAAAUCCCAGGGCUUAACUCUGGAACUGCGCCUGAAACUACGUGACUAGAGUCUUGGAGAGGUAAGCGGAAUUUCUGGUGUAGCGGUGAAAUGCGUAGAUAUCAGAAGGAACACCAAUGGCGAAGGCAGCUUACUGGACAAGUACUGACGCUCAUGCACGAAAGCGUGGGGAGCGAAA